GGGGGUGUGGCUUAAUGGUAGAGCGCUUGCCUUGCAUCUGCAAGGUCCUGGGUUUGAUCCCCAGCACCCGCC
rnacentral:tRNA from 1 species